AGCUAAUAACCAUGGGUCUCUUGGCACUGAUAUCGGUGAAGAGCGUUGCAAUCUGUGGUAAGUAGUGUGAAUUGCAUCUUUUGUGAAUCAUCAAAUUUCAACACUAAUUAGACUGGUACCUUAAAUACUACCAUGUUUGGUUGAGUGAUA
rnacentral:rRNA from 1 species